CCCAGGUCUCGGUCAGGGUCAGGGCCCCGAGAGCAGCAGGAGGAAGGUUGGGGGCAUCAUAACCUGCAUCCUCGUGGUCGAGGAGGAAUCUGAGCCCCUGCUGGCCAGUGUGGAAUUUAUAACCGGUGACAAGAGAUUUUCACCUAUUGAGGUAUAUGGGGUAACUAUUCUGGUUCCAAACUGAUUCGGCUUGAACUAAAAAGCCUGACUUGCGGCCUAUUAAACAUAUGUUGUACAUCUGCUUAACCAUUAAAGUAAAAAAUGCACUCUUUUAAGAUAAAAAUGCAGACUUCCCCUCCUACGCCAUGUUGGUAAUGUCCUAUAGGUAACGUCUGACAUCACAGUCAUAUUGACCUGCUAAUUUGUAACUGAAUGUGAAAAUAUAUCCUGGGUGUGUUUAAUGUAUGUUCUUUGUUCUAGAAAGAUAUAAGACUGUACUGAAAACCAUGCUUCUCCUGAACGCUUCCUAAGGCCUUCCAGGUUUAUAAUGCUCACUCUGGCUCAAGUAAACUCACCUUAUUUCUCUUAUCUAUGGGAUAGUUAUUGGUUAUUUUGCGGCGUCACCGGGACCCCCCCCCCCCCCCCCGCCUCUCCCCCGUGAUGCUGAUUGGCUUCUCUAGAAACCAGACACCCAAUGGGAGUGAGAACUGGGGCCGCGCAUCAUGAGGCUCCAGGAAGGAGGAGCUGACACAGGUUGUGAGAGGAAGUGAAACUCAGGAGACGGGACUCCCCAACACUGAACUUCCCCGCCCCAGACUCUGCCCUCUGGCCUGAGACCCUGAGAGCCACGCCCGGGGACCUGGGACUUUGUCCUGACCCCUCUCCUUCUGCACCGACAGCUCUUUGUCACACUGUCUCCCUGUGUCCUGGCCCAGGGGCGGUUUGAAUCAGCGGUUGUCAAGCAUUUUGGCUUCAGGAUAUCCAUACAGUCUUACAAAUUAGCGAGGGCCCCGAGGGUAAUUUUGUUUAUGUUGGUUGUAUCUAUCAAUAUUUGCCACACUAGGAAUAAAAGUUUUUAAAUAUUUUAAUUGAUUUACUUAGAAUAAUAUUCAUUAUCUAUAGUUUUUAUGAAAAAUAUUCCCCAAAAUAAACAAGGUAGCACAAGAGUGGGUCUUUUUACAUCUUACAUUUUUGCAAGUCUCUUUCUUGUCUGUCUCAUGAGAAGACCACUGGAUUUUCAUAUUUGCUCUGCAUUUAAUCUGUUAUUUUGGUUGAAGUAUAUGAAAAAAAUACAGCCCCACACAAAUAUGUAGUGGCAUUUUUAAUAACCUUUUCAGAUAAUUGUGGAUGUUCAACUGUGAUGCUAAUAUAAAAUUACACAAGUGAUAGUUUCUCAGUGGUUAUUUGCAAGGUGAAACCUGAGACAAUAUCAUGGAAUAUUUCCUAUUCUGUUACAUUAAAAUCCACAGACCUAUUUUGUAUAAUGAAUGGCUCUUGUACUAAUGUAUAAUUUUUAAAGUAAUACAUUGUUUCCUAAGUUAUAUAGAUCUUUUCGUGUUGAUGCAUUUAACUACAAAUUAUCUAAUAUCACAUUUAUUAAUAUUACCACAGAUCUCAACAGGAAAGUCUGUCAGUACUGGGAAGCUGUCAAGCUUACACGGUGGACACAAGUUUUUCAGAAUUCUGGUUUUCUCUCGAGAGCUUCCAUUUUAUCAAGGCAAUAAGUACUGCCAGUUGUUACCUGUCAGGUUUUUUUCUUAAAGGAAGAAGCUCCUGUUCAUUUUGAAAGUGUACGCCAAUUAAUUAAGUCUAGAUAAUCAUAGUUCCUGUUGUUCAUUCUUUCAAGUAGAAAUGAUAUUCCAUAAAAAAGAGGCUGGCUCAGCUUGCGCAAAUUAUUCUCCUUGGGACAUAGCACUUGGAAAUGUAGCAGAAGGGCUUUAUGUGUACUUUGCAUUUCAUUAUGUAAGAUAUUUUUAAAAUGUGGAUUUAAGAAUAAUUAUUUGGUCAAGAUAAUUUUUAGUGCUUCAACCAGGACGUUUUAAAGUAAGUGGUUUUUGUUUUUGUUUUGUUUUUCUGCAAGUAAGUGGUGCUGGAGAUAGCAACGAUAGCAGUUUGGUACCACAGCCUCCGUUCUCACUCAGUUUUACCUCAGUGCAAAUGUCAAUAUAGUGAAAAGGCAAAUAAUGUCUAGUAAUACUAGUAAAAGACUUUUGACCUCAUGGCUCCCAUGGAAGGGUCUCAGUGACUUCAAGGGUCCCACAGACCACACUUUGAGAACUGCUGUUCUGAAUGAACCAGGGAGAGUCUGCCAGUGGGUCCCCAUCUUUGCCUCCUCUUGAUUUCCAAGAAUCCCACUCACUGAGUUUGGACUCCUUGCCUCCCCAAACUCAGCUUAGAGCAUUGCCCCUAGUCUCCCCUGAACUCACCUGCUGGAAAUUUGAUGCCAGAGAGUGUCCUCAGUCUGGGACGGGAGGUGCAGGGACAGGGGUUUCCCUUUGGAACUGACAAGUUUAUGUGUGAAGGCACCAGACCACUGACAACAUUUGUUGGUUUUGUUACAUACCAGCUUAAUAUGUAUUCACAUCUCAGAUAGAAAUCUGACGUAUCUCUAAGAGAAAUAAUAUUGGCCCUUUCAUUUUACAUGAGUCUCAUGCAUCUGGCUUGAGACCCACAAUGUAUGAAGAGCAGUAUGUCCAACAGAAUGUCCUGCGAUGAAGGAAUUGUUCUUUGUCUGUACUGUCCAAUGUGGAAACCAGUAGCUACAUGGGGCUGUUGAGCACUUGAAAUGUGGCUACUGUGAUGAGCAGUUGAACUUUUAAUUUUAUUUGCUUUAAACUUAAGUAACCAUCUGUGGCUAGUAGCUACCAAAGUGGACAGCGCAUAUCCAGGAUGUUCUUAGUUUUCAGUCUCCUCCCCUAAAAAAGAUACUGUGUGACUCACAGUUUGAUGUAUAUUAAAAUUAUCUUUAUAUGGGGGCAUGGAUUUGUCCAUGUGGGUCUUAGACAUAUCCUUAAAAUACAGCAUGCCCAAGAAGUUGAAUUAACAUGUAUUUUAACAACUAGAGUGUACAGACAUUAACCCAAACGUGAUUUAUUACCUUAAGGCCAUAAGUAUUCAAAAAUGCCCAUCAGUGGAGCUAAUCCUUAUGUAUAUUACACUGGGGCUCUUGGUGUUCUUUUCAUUAACCUGGUCAACAUAAGUAGGGACAUAAGUCUUCGCUUAGCCUAAGAGGAAGCAUUUAUUGAACACAAUGUAUGUCAAUUACCUUGUAGGCCCUGUGGAUCCACUUGUAAAAUUAUAGAGCAGAAGAUGUAAACCUUAGAAUGCCACCACCUUAGAAUUCUUUACCUAUUGCUCCUUCCCACACUUUCAGCCCAAAUUCAAGCAAUUCUAUUUCCCUUCACCCUUGUACCCCUCUCCUAGAUGAAAAUAUAUGUGAAAGUUUUAUAGUUGUGGAGUGAAGAAUUCUCUAAGCAUGACCCAAAGAUGAAAAACCAUAAAGAAAACAUAAAACUUCUCUAUGUCAACCACACACUCACAAAGAUAAAUACACAUGCCAGUAACCAAACUCAGAGACACACAAAAAAUUGUGACAGACAAAAGGAUAAAAACAUGGCCAAUGUUUUUCAACCAGAGACCACCAGGAGCACUCCUGUGGGCAAACAAGUUGGGUUUAUUACUUGUUGCUGUGAGGGAGAAUGCACACCACAGGGACCACAGGGCAUCUUAGUCUGAAGGUGUAAGAACAUAUAUGGGAUUUGGGCUUUGGUUGGGUGAUUUGUGGGGGGGGGUCUAUAGAAGCAGGGGCUCACUCUAGAUUGGGUGUUGUCAGGAAGUGGGGGCAAUUCUAUGAUUGGGCAUCUCAAUAAAUCUUAUCUGUAGACGUGGCCGACUAGAGCAAGAACAAAGCUGUAAUUGGAGCUCAUAUGAGCCAGCAGAGGGAUAUGUUUGGUAUUUUGUGAGUUUCACAGUUCCUUGUUUUGCUUAGGUGAUGUAGUGAUCUUGUUUUCUCUCACUUUUUCACAUUCUCAGAGUGUCCUUGUCUGAUGUUGAUGUUCUUUGAGAUGAUUUAUGUCCAACAGGAGAAUAACAUGCCAAGUGGUGAGCACCAGGCCAGCUUUCGACCACACUGAGGCCUCGCUGAAUUUAUCCUAAGAAGAUAAUCACACGUGUUCUGAAGUCAUACUCCCACUAAAUAGUUCAGAUGGAAAAGUCAUGGCAAGCUGAAGAAAAGACCUACGAGAAAAUCAGUCUAUCAAUCAAGGGAUUCCAACAUGUUAAUAAAACCACUUUCAGAAAUAAUGGAGGGUAGGAAAUUAUGAAAAAAUUUCAAGAAAAUUUCUUGGAGUUUAGAGACAAAAAUUUACAUUUUGAAUGGCUUAAGUUCUUUCUACAGUAGAUGAAGACAGACCCACACCAUGACAAUCACAGUGAAGUUUCAGAAAGAUGGUGGAACAGAAGAGACCUUGAAAUCUUGAAGAGGCAACAAACACAAGCCUGGAGGCUAGAAGACAUUGCAGCAAUGCCUUCCAGAUUCCGAGGGAAAAAUAUUCCAACACAGAGUUCUAUAUCCAGUCAAGAUGAGCUAUUACAGCAUGUCUGUAUGCAGGAAUGAAUGAGCCAGUAGAGAGCAGGAAGUUGAUGAUGCAGGGGAGGGAGGGGACCUGAUCCUGUACCCAAGCUGAGAGGUGGCCUUACAGGAGCAGGACCAUCCAUCAUCACUGCUGUGAAGGCAGAGGAUACAGCCUCCAGGACCCACACAUCCAAACACCAUACCCAGGGAUGCCAAAGGUGGAACUCUCUCCAGGUAUUAGACCAUUCACCAUCUUGGAGCCUGGAGGGCAACCCUACCCUCUUCCUCAGCCCUGAACCCCGGCAUCCGGCCUCUUCUUCCCCUUGGUGGACGUAAGCAGACACUGACCUGCUGACUGGGUCCCUUGGGCCUUGCUGCCUGCCACCUCCAAGCCUGAAAUUGAAGGUCCUACAGUUCUGGACCCAAAUCUAAUUUCUGGGCCUGCUGAAUGACCUAGGAGUUUGGGGGUCACAGGUCAUGGGAGGGCUCCCCAGGGACCCUCAGGCUGCAGCUGAGCCACGCCUUCCAGCUGCACAGAAUCAGCUGAUUCUGGAGACAAGACUGGGCCCUGGAGGACUUCACCUAAGAAUCCUGCUAGCUAUCCAGGGUGCCCUCGGAGUGCAGGGGUCUGCAGAGGCAGCUGGUGGUCUGGCUUAGUCCGUGGCCUUGUGCUUUUGGUGGCAUGAGAAGUGCCGAGGGUCUCUGUGUGGCCUUCUGUCUGCUUGGCUCCAGGCCUGGGAUGAGCUAGUGAGCAGCUCCUCCCCCUCCCAACAGAAAGAGACACCCCAUCCCCCAGCCAGUUCCCAGGGAACCACUUUCCUGUCUGUGUCAGUCUCAGCUUUGAGGAGAUCUGGUCCCUACGCUUCUUCAUUCAUGAACAAAUACUUAUGGAGCAUCUGCUCUGUGCCAGCCACUAUUCUAGGUCCUGUGGGAUGUAUCACACCAACUCAGGCAAAACCCUGCCCUCACGGAGCGUAUGUGCUGAGAAGAACAGGGCAGGGAAGAUGAGGGAGCUGGUUGUAAGUUUAAAUAUUAUCCUCAGGGGAGGCUUUCCUGGGAGGUGAUAUUUGAGCUAAGUCCUGAAGGAGGUGAGGGAGUGAACCCUGUGGUUAUAGGGAGGAAGCGUGUUCUAGAUCACCCUCUGCACAGACCUGGGGCUCUACUGGGGAAGCACUGAGGCUCCAGCAGGAAUGGGAGUGGGCAGACUGCAGGAAGGACUUCCUGUAGAGGAAUUGUGGGGAUCUGGGUUUGUGUAUCUCAUGAACUAUUCCCUUGUCUCUGGGGAUUCAUGAAAUCCUGGAGAUUGCAGGGGGAUGAAGGGCUCGUGAGUGGAGGAAGGUUGGGAGAGGAGGGAGGGAGCUGAGGUGGGGUUCUACCCCAGCUCUGUCUCUGUGCUCACUGACUCCUGCAUCCAGUGUGAGGGGUGAUUUUCAUGUGGUCAGCAAAUCCUAGGAUAGCUGGAUCUGUAGUAAAUUCACCACAUGGCAGGACAUAAAAUUAAGGACUUUUCAACUCCUGGAGGCUCAAAACAAUUUCAAGAAAAGUAAACUAUGAGAAAAAGAAUGUAAAAUAUUUCAUCAGUAAUCUUUUUAUUGGUUAUGUGCUUAAUUUUUAAUAUUUUGAUUGCUUUGAGUUAAAUAAAAUAUUAACAUUAGUUUCACCUAUUACUUUUUACUUUUUAAAAUGUGGCCACUAAAAAAUUUAAGGUUACAUUUGUGGCUCAAAUUUAUGGUUCAAAUGAUACUCCUACUGGAUAGCACUGUUUUAGAAGCUUAAUAAUUUGAGAUGUUAUGUUUAGGUCUACGCUUCAUUUCAAGGUAGUUUUUGUAUGUGAUGUUCAUUCUUUUCCUUGUGGUUAUUUGUUCCAACACCAUUUGUGGAAAAGACUAUCCUUUCUCCAUUGAAUUAUCUUGACUCCUUUUCAUGAACAUAUAUGUAUAGUUCUUUUUAUACACUCUUUUUUGUUGUUGUUGAGGAAGAUUAGCCCUGAGCUAACUGCUGCCAAUCCUCCUCUUUUUGCUGAGGAAGCCUGGCCCUGAGCUAA